rnacentral:lncRNA from 1 species
UUUCUCGAAGGUCGGUUGCCGGGUUUGUUUGUUUUAAUCAUUGUGAGUUUGUUUAUUUUGUUACAAGUUUCUUACGUCGUCCAGAUGCCUUGCAGUGCUUGCAGUUGUGUGUCACACACAGACUCUGAACAGACCAAACUACCAAGUACCACAUCUUGCAAUCCAUGUUGGCAUUUUGAAGUGGAUAGGUUAUAACUUUAGUGGUACUCACUUACUUGAAUUCAAGGUCAGAUCAGGUCCAUGUCAAGUUUCAACGGGUGCACAGCUCUUCAACCUCUAGCUGCCCUAGGCUCAUUCAAUUUGCCUUUCGAGACCAGAAUGUAUUCGUUGAGUUGAAAACCUCUAUAUCUAACCAUGAAUGAGAAAUUUUGACUUUAAUUUCCAC